rnacentral:rRNA from 1 species
UACGUAGGUGGCAAGCGUUGUCCGGAUUUACUGGGCGUAAAGAGCGCGCAGGCGGUCGUUCAAGUCGCGUGUGAAAGCCCCCGGCUCAACUGGGGAGGGUCACGCGAUACUGAUCGACUCGAAGGCAGGAGAGGGAAGUGGAAUUCCUGGUGUAGCGGUGAAAUGCGCAGAUAUCAGGAAGAACACCCGUGGCGAAGGCGGCUCUCUGGGACGUGACUGACGCUGAGACGCGAAAGCGUGGGGGAGCGAACAGG